UGUGAGCUCGAUGAGUAGGGCGGGACACGUGGUAUCCUGUCUGAAUAUGGGGGGACCAUCCUCCAAGGCUAAAUACUCCUGACUGACCGAUAGUGAACCAGUACCGUGAGGGAAAGGCGAAAAGAACCCCGGCGAGGGGAGUGAAAAAGAACCUGAAACCGUGUACGUACAAGCAGUGGGAGCACGCUUAGGCGUGUGACUGCGUACCUUUUGUAUAAUGGGUCAGCGACUUAUAUUCUGUAGCAAGGUUAACCGAAUAGGGGAGCCGAAGGGAAACCGAGUCUUAACUGGGCGUUAAGUUGCAGGGUAUAGACCCGAAACCCGGUGAUCUAGCCAUGGGCAGGUUGAAGGUUGGGUAACACUAACUGGAGGACCGAACCGACUAAUGUUGAAAAAUUAGCGGAUGACUUGUGGCUGGGGGUGAAAGGCCAAUCAAACCGGGAGAUAGCUGGUUCUCCCCGAAAGCUAUUUAGGUAGCGCCUCGUGAAUUCAUCUCCGGGGGUAGAGCACUGUUUCGGCAAGGGGGUCAUCCCGACUUACCAACCCGAUGCAAACUGCGAAUACCGGAGAAUGUUAUCACGGGAGACACACGGCGGGUGCUAACGUCCGUCGUGAAGAGGGAAACAACCCAGACCGCCAGCUAAGGUCCCAAAGUCAUGGUUAAGUGGGAAACGAUGUGGGAAGGCCCAGACAGCCAGGAUGUUGGCUUAGAAGCAGCCAUCAUUUAAAGAAAGCGUAAUAGCUCACUGGUCGAGUCGGCCUGCGCGGAAGAUGUAACGGGGCUAAACCAUGCACCGAAGCUGCGGCAGCGACACUAUGUGUUGUUGGGUAGGGGAGCGUUCUGUAAGCCUGUGAAGGUGUACUGUGAGGUAUGCUGGAGGUAUCAGAAGUGCGAAUGCUGACAUAAGUAACGAUAAAGCGGGUGAAAAGCCCGCUCGCCGGAAGACCAAGGGUUCCUGUCCAACGUUAAUCGGGGCAGGGUGAGUCNUAUGCGUUGUUGGGUAGGGGAGCGUUCUGUAAGCCUGCGAAGGUGUGCUGUGAGGCAUGCUGGAGGUAUCAGAAGUGCGAAUGCUGACAUAAGUAACGAUAAAGCGGGUGAAAAGCCCGCUCGCCGGAAGACCAAGGGUUCCUGUCCAACGUUAAUCGGGGCAGGGUGAGUCGACCCCUAAGGCGAGGCCGAAAGGCGUAGUCGAUGGGAAACAGGUUAAUAUUCCUGUACUUGGUGUUACUGCGAAGGGGGGACGGAGAAGGCUAUGUUGGCCGGGCGACGGUUGUCCCGGUUUAAGCGUGUAGGCUGGUUUUCCAGGCAAAUCCGGAAAAUCAAGGCUGAGGCGUGAUGACGAGGCACUACGGUGCUGAAGCAACAAAUGCCCUGCUUCCAGGAAAAGCCUCUAAGCAUCAGGUAACAUCAAAUCGUACCCCAAACCGACACAGGUGGUCAGGUAGAGAAUACCAAGGCGCUUGAGAGAACUCGGGUGAAGGAACUAGGCAAAAUGGUGCCGUAACUUCGGGAGAAGGCACGCUGAUAUGUAGGUGAAGCGACUUGCUCGUGGAGCUGAAAUCAGUCGAAGAUACCAGCUGGCUGCAACUGUUUAUUAAAAACACAGCACUGUGCAAACACGAAAGUGGACGUAUACGGUGUGACGCCUGCCCGGUGCCGGAAGGUUAAUUGAUGGGGUUAGCGCAAGCGAAGCUCUUGAUCGAAGCCCCGGUAAACGGCGGCCGUAACUAUAACGGUCCUAAGGUAGCGAAAUUCCUUGUCGGGUAAGUUCCGACCUGCACGAAUGGCGUAAUGAUGGCCAGGCUGUCUCCACCCGAGACUCAGUGAAAUUGAACUCGCUGUGAAGAUGCAGUGUACCCGCGGCAAGACGGAAAGACCCCGUGAACCUUUACUAUAGCUUGACACUGAACAUUGAGCCUUGAUGUGUAGGAUAGGUGGGAGGCUUUGAAGUGUGGACGCCAGUCUGCAUGGAGCCGACCUUGAAAUACCACCCUUUAAUGUUUGAUGUUCUAACGUUGACCCGUAAUCCGGGUUGCGGACAGUGUCUGGUGGGUAGUUUGACUGGGGCGGUCUCCUCCUAAAGAGUAACGGAGGAGCACGAAGGUUGGCUAAUCCUGGUCGGACAUCAGGAGGUUAGUGCAAUGGCAUAAGCCAGCUUGACUGCGAGCGUGACGGCGCGAGCAGGUGCGAAAGCAGGUCAUAGUGAUCCGGUGGUUCUGAAUGGAAGGGCCAUCGCUCAACGGAUAAAAGGUACUCCGGGGAUAACAGGCUGAUACCGCCCAAGAGUUCAUAUCGACGGCGGUGUUUGGCACCUCGAUGUCGGCUCAUCACAUCCUGGGGCUGAAGUAGGUCCCAAGGGUAUGGCUGUUCGCCAUUUAAAGUGGUACGCGAGCUGGGUUUAGAACGUCGUGAGACAGUUCGGUCCCUAUCUGCCGUGGGCGCUGGAGAA
rnacentral:rRNA from 1 species